AGCGAACGCUGGCGGCAGGCUUAACACAUGCAAGUCGAGCGGGCAUCCUUGUGGUGUCAGCGGCAGACGGGUGAGUAACGCGUGGGAACGUGCCCUUCGGUCCGGAAUAACUCAGGGAAACUUGAGCUAAUACCGGAUACGUGCGAGAGCAGAAAGGUUUAUCUGCCGAAGGAUCGGCCCGCGUCUGAUUAGCUAGUUGGUGAGGUUACGGCUCACCAAGGCGACGAUCAGUAGCUGGUCUGAGAGGAUGAUCAGCCACACUGGGACUGAGACACGGCCCAGACUCCUACGGGAGGCAGCAGUGGGGAAUAUUGGACAAUGGGGGCAACCCUGAUCCAGCCAUGCCGCGUGAGUGAUGACGGCCUUAGGGUUGUAAAGCUCUUUUCUCCGGGACGAUAAUGACGGUACCGGAGGAAUAAGCCCCGGCUAACUUCGUG
rnacentral:rRNA from 1 species